CCUACGGGAGGCAGCAGUGAGGAAUCUUGGUCAAUGGGCGAGAGCCUGAACCAGCCAAGUCGCGUGAGGGAAGACGGUCCUAUGGAUUGUAAACCUCUUUUGCCGGGGAGCAAAAAGCGGUACGUGUACCGCAUCGAGAGUACCCGGAGAAAAAGCAUCGGCUACCUCCGUGCCAGCAGCCGCGGUAAUACGGAGGAUGCGAGCGUUAUCCGGAUUUAUUGGGUUUAAAGGGUGCGCAGGCGGCGAGUUAAGUCAGCGGUAAAAUUUCGGGGCUCAACCCCGACGAGCCGUUGAAACUGGCGUGCUAGAGUGGGCGAGAAGUAUGCGGAAUGCGUGGUGUAGCGGUGAAAUGCAUAGAUAUCACGCAGAACUCCGAUUGCGAAGGCAGCAUACCGGCGCCCAACUGACGCUCAGGCACGAAAGCGUGGGUAUCGAACAGGAUUAGAUACCCGAGUAGUC
rnacentral:rRNA from 1 species